GAGCCUUCGAGGUCAGAAGUAGCUUGAAUUUAUGUUCUGAAGAUGAAGGUUCCUAAAGAAAUCCUGUGCCCGGGGACAGAACAGUCUGGAAUUGGUUGGCCUCUGAAUUACCCAUUGCUCUGCUUUCCUAAGCAUGCUUUCCUGGACACUCUAAGGUUUCCCAAUGUUCCUCUGACCUUCAUGGCUAACUUACAAGGCAAGAAUUUUUCUCUAUGCCCUUGUCCUCUUCCUGACAGCCAUGAUUAUAAUUUUCAGCUUCUCUGCACUAUUGUUUUUA
rnacentral:lncRNA from 1 species